CGGGCGGGUGAGUAACGCGUGGGGAACCUGCCCUGUACCGGGGGAUAGCAGCCGGAAACGGCUGAUAAUACCGCAUAAGCGCACGAAUGUCGCAUGACAUGGUGUGAAAAACUCCGGUGGUAUAGGAUGGACCCGCGUCUGAUUAGCCGGUUGGUGGAGUAAAAGCCUACCAAAGCGAAGAUCAGUAGCCGAGUUGAGAGACUGACCGGCCACAUUGGGACUGAGACACGGCCCAGACUCCUACGGGAGGCAGCAGAC
rnacentral:rRNA from 1 species